AUUCUGACUUGGAAUGGAAUUGAGCGCAACAUCAGUUAUUAAAAAGUUUCACGAAAAAAUUUGUCAGAAAUGCCUGCAGAAAAAAGUUUAUGAAGCCCUCCAAGAAGAAUACACAGUAAUGGCAGCGUAACCACCACAUACUUGAAAAAUCUGUUACCUAACAAAGAAAACUGACAUGGGAAAACCUCAUCAGAGCAACAAAGCUUCACUAUAUCAGCAGUAAAACUGAAGUCAUUUUUACCACGCCUAGGAAGACUGCAGAUGCACAUCUGUGUUAUGAAAUCUGUUUGAGAGUAUCAUAUCCUUCCUUGAAGACUGUCCUUCAAGUUUCUGUCUUAACAGUGUUUACAUAAUUACCAUGUUUACAUCCAUAACCUAUUUUGAAAGCGUCUCUGGAUGAAACAUCCAUAAUCUAUUUUGGAAGGCUUUUAGAAAUAUGUUUGCUAGAUCUUGAGCUUUCUGUGUUCUGCAGAUGAAAAGGAAUUAGGAAAAAUUAGGAAAUUAGGAAAACUAAUAUUGUUUUUUCAAACAACGUUCAGUACCUCACUUGAAUGUUAAAAACCCCACUGGGUAAGGGCAGCAGCACAAUAGCCACUGGUUAGCUAGAGCUGUAUUAUGUCCCUUGGAUGGCCUUCUGUCUGGUACAUUCUCUAUAACUGCAGGAAAUUAUCUAUCUACCAGCAUCAAAACCUCUUACUUCACUCACAGUCCAAAACAUUCCCCCCUCCAAAGCUUGGCUACUUUUGCUUCAUACAUCUUUCUGCCCCUUCUUUCUGCUACUUCUCUCUUAUCAUAUUCCUUUCUUAUGGCUUAUUCAUGGCUUUAUUGUUGCUCUCUUUCUUACCCAUUCUCACCAUCCUAGUGUCUGUCAUCCUCCAAACAAACACUUUAUAAAAUAGGAAACAAA